CCCAAACUCCAUAACCGGCGAUAUGGGCCAAAUUAAUGUAUGGCUGCUGCUAUAUAGUUAUUAGGGAGAGAGAUUGGGUAUGGGUGGAAGGUAGUUGAUUUGCUCUGUGUGACUGUGUCACAUCGACUGUUGGUUGGAUAUCGUAUUUGUAUUCGUAUCGUAUCAUGUAUUAAUUAAUAACGUGACCUAACAGUCCAAGUGAAAGACAAUGUAACCAUGUAAGUUGACCCUUCACCUAUGUCUGCAUGCCAUAUGAUUUUUUAUUCCAUUUUAUCCCAGUUUACACUAGAUAAUGGAGAACAUGCCAUACAUUAUCUUCUUGUUCAAGUUCUCUUAUCCUUGAAGAUAAUUUCUUUUUUAUUAUUUUGUAAAAAUACUUUUUUUUUUCUAACUUUUUGUAAAAAUACUUGAGUAUGAAGAAGCUUGUUAUAAUUAAUAGGAUUCAAAUAUCACAAACUAAUUAUUAUUAUUAUUAUUAUUAAGAAGGGUUUGAGAUCUAGAAUACUAGCUGCCUUCAUAAUAUUUUUUGCCUAUCGGGACUUUCGAAAACUUUGGUAUGCUCUAGUGUAUGACAUACACCAAAUGAAUGAAUAGUUGGUUAUAUAUGCAACCAAAGAUUCAACUAUCAAGGAUUUCAUAUUUGAAGCUGUUCAAAUGAUAGGUCAACCAAAUAAAGUCGUCUCUCGGUUAAAAUUUUACUUAAUCAAAAUUGUUAAGUAAUUUAACGAUUUUCACUUUGAUUCAAUUUUAGAAUAUAAAAUAUGACAAUAAAACUGAACAAAAUCUUGAUCACAAAAGCACAAUGAACUAAAAGGUAGCUUAGCACAAUUUCCUUAUGGUGACAAGAAGAUAAUCUAAACCUAGACACCAAUAUUUUGAUAUAUAGUUGGAGUCUUGGAGACAUAACAAUGAAUUGGCUAACGAAUCUAUGGAACUUUAACGAAAAGUUUCUGAUAUUGUUCAUUUUAACGAAAAACUACAUUUUUAUACUUAAAAGUUAAUUUUGGUACUAUUCACUUUACUCUUUAUUUUGUCUUUAGUGUUAAAACUUAAAGUUUUCAAAUAUUUUUCAUUAGUUUUCCUAUGAAUCUAACCAUGUCUGCAGUCGCAUGCGCCUCAUGUUGUUACUAAAUUAAAAAGAAAGAACAAAGAAAUUGAAAUCGAAAUAUAGAUUCAUCAAUAUUCAAAAGUAGAUGUUGUCAUGCUCCUGCGUGAGCACAUGAAUCUUUAUGUUUUGUUUGGUAUUCUUCAUCUACCAAAGCUGCUUUAACCCGUCUUCCAAAAAAAAAAGCUGCUUUAACCCUCU
rnacentral:lncRNA from 1 species